AAUCAACGCUGGCGGCGUGCCUAACACAUGCAAGUCGAACGAGAAAGCGGGGGCAACUCCGUGAGUAAAGUGGCAGACGGGUGAGUAACACGUGAACAAUCUGCCCUUGAGUGGGGAAUAACACCGCGAAAGCGGUGCUAAUACCGCAUAACAUCCCAGUGACGCAUGUCGCGGGGAUCAAAGGCGAAAGUCGCUCGAGGAGGAGUUCGCGCCUGAUUAGCUAGUUGGUGAGGUAACGGCCCACCAAGGCAACGAUCAGUAGCCGGCCUGAGAGGGCGAACGGCCACACUGGAACUGAGACACGGUCCAGACUCCUACGGGAGGCAG
rnacentral:rRNA from 1 species